GGGGCUGUAGUAGGUCCCAAGGGUUGGGCUGUUCGCCCAUUAAAGUGGUACGCGAGCUGGGUUCAGAACGUCGGGAGACAGUUCGGUCCCUAUCCGGCGCAGGCGUAGGAAAUUUGAGAAGACCUGUCCUUAGUACGAGAGGACCGGGAUGGACGUACCUCUGGUGUACCAGUUGU
rnacentral:rRNA from 1 species